UUUCUUCUUUGAGUCCAACUUGGAGAGACACAUCGACAGAAGUGCAGACAUCUGCGAAUAUGUUCACGAUGAUGAUGGUGCCGAUAAUGUUAUUUUUUCUCCAAGGAACAUAUGCAGCUGCAGAUGUGGAGCCUAGAAACGGUGGAAGAGCAUGUGACCGUCGGACCGAAAGAUGCGCAUAUCCUUUAUCCUGCGGGUGCGAUCCCAACAGACAACUUGGACAAUUCAGCAAUGACUUGUUUCACUGGAAUCCGCGAACAGACCAAUGUGCGCCAGGUGGAUGGAGUCAAAACUGCAACUCAUUUACAACAAAAUGGGCGUGCGAGACCGCUUGUCAAUAAAAACAAAAGUAUUGAGUA